rnacentral:rRNA from 1 species
ACGAACGCUGGCGGCGUGCCUAAUCCAUGCAAGUAGAACGCUGAAGAGAGGAGCUUGCUCUUCUUGGAUGAGUUGCGAACGGGUGAGUAACGCGUAGGUAACCUGCCUUGUAGCGGGGGAUAACUAUUGGAAACGAUAGCUAAUACCGCAUAACAAUGGAUGACACAUGUCAUUUAUUUGAAAGGGGCAAUUGCUCCACUACAAGAUGGACCUGCGUUGUAUUAGCUAGUAGGUGAGGUAAUGGCUCACCUAGGCGACGAUACAUAGCCGACCUGAGAGGGUGAUCGGCCACACUGGGACUGAGACACGGCCCAGACUCCUACGGGAGGCAGCAGUAGGGAAUCUUCGGCAAUGGGGGCAACCCUGACCGAGCAACGCCGCGUGAGUGAAGAAGGUUUUCGGAUCGUAAAGCUCUGUUGUAAGUCAAGAACGGGUGUGAGAGUGGAAAGUUCACACUGUGACGGUAGCUUACCAGAAAGGGACGGCUAACUACGUG